CCUACGGGAGGCAGCAGUGGGGAAUAUUGCACAAUGGGGGAAACCCUGAUGCAGCAACGCCGCGUGAGUGAAGCAGUAUUUCGGUAUGUAAAGCUCUAUCAGCAGGGAAGAAAAUGACAGUACCUGACUAAGAAGCCCCGGCUAACUACGUGCCAGCAGCCGCGGUAAUACGUAGGGGGCAAGCGUUAUCCGGAUUUAAUGGGUUGAAAGGGAGCGUAGACGGCUGCGCAAGUCAGAAGUGAAAGCCCGGGGCUCAACCGCGGGACUGCUUUUGAAACUGUGUAGCUAGAGUGCAGGAGAGGUAAGUGGAAUUCCUAGUGUAGCGGUGAAAUGCGUAGAUAUUAGGAGGAACACCGGUGGCGAAGGCGGCUUACUGGACUGUAACUGACGUUGAGGCUCGAAAGCGUGGGGAGCAAACAGGAUUAGAUACCCGAGUAGUC
rnacentral:rRNA from 1 species